UUAAUACUCCACCAGGGGAUGUAACGUAUCAGUUGAACUACCAGGUCAAAUAGAAUGAACUUUUGAAAAAACUUCGAUACACACUGUUAAAUUGCUUUCACAUUCCUGCCAUUAUUGGCUUAUUCAGUCUGCAGCCUGGUGGAAGAUGGGAGACCUUUAACAUCAAGCAGCUUGACUUUUUCUUUUUUUAAGAUUAGUCCAUAAUGACUGCAAGCUGGGGUUGGGUGAGGGCAAGGGUAGUAAUUACUCUUUGCUUGAUGUUUUGCCUCUUUUGAAAGACCUUCCAAGCCUGGGACAGGAUGGAUCGUGGAAGUGGAGGGGGAUGGCAGAUGAGGACUCUGGGCAGCUCUCUAGUUCCUUUUAGUUUGGGUCUUUGCAUCAAACAUCAUCAUUCUUUUUAGUGAUAAUAAAUUCCUAGAGUGACCGAGAGUCACCCCAGUUUUCAAAAGUACUCAUUGAUUCUGGAAACUUCCUGUUAACUGUUUCAUGUACUAGACAAUAGCAUGUUGUUGGAGAU
rnacentral:lncRNA from 1 species